rnacentral:rRNA from 1 species
UACGAGGGGGCAAGCGUUGUUCGGAAUUAUUGGGCGUAAAGGGUGCGUAGGCGGUUUGUAAGUCUUGUGUGAAAUCUUCAGGCUCAACUUGAAGACUGCACGAGAAACUGCAGGGCUUGAGUGUGGGAGAGGUGGAGUGGAAUUCCUGGUGUAGCGGUGAAAUGCGUAGAUAUCAGGAGGAACACCUGUGGCGAAAGCGGCUCACUGGACCACAACUGACGCUGAUGCACGAAAGCUAGGGGAGCAAACAGG